rnacentral:rRNA from 1 species
UACAGAGGAUGCAAGCGUUGUCCGGAAUCAUUGGGCGUAAAGCGCGUGUAGGCGGCUCGAUAAGUCUGCUGUGAAAGUUCAGGGCUCAACCCUGAAAUGCCGGUGGAAACUGUCGGGCUAGAGUCCGGAAGAGGCGAGUGGAAUUCCUGGUGUAGCGGUGAAAUGCGCAGAUAUCAGGAGGAACACCAAUGGCGAAGGCAGCUCGCUGGGACGGUACUGACGCUGAGACGCGAAAGCGUGGGGAGCAAACAGG